rnacentral:rRNA from 1 species
UGGGGAAUAUUGCACAAUGGGCGAAAGCCUGAUGCAGCAACGCCGCGUGAGCGAAGAAGGUCUUCGGAUUGUAAAGCUCUGUCCUAGGGGAAGAAGAAAAUGACGGUACCCUUGGAGGAAGCCCCGGCUAACUACGUGCCAGCAGCCGCGGUAAUACGUAGGGGGCAAGCGUUAUCCGGAAUUAUUGGGCGUAAAGAGUGCGUAGGUGGUUACCUAAGCAGGGGGUGAAAGGCAAUGGCUCAACCAUUGUUAGCCCUCUGAACUGGGUUACUUGAGUGCAGGAGAGGAAAGCGGAAUUCCUAG